UACGUAGGGGGCAAGCGUUGUCCGGAAUCAUUGGGCGUAAAGCGCGUGUAGGCGGUCCGGUAAGUCCGCUGCGAAAGUCGGAGGCUUAACCCUCGGAUGCCGGUGGAUACUGUCGGGCUUGAGUACGGAAGAGGCGAGUGGAAUUCCUGGUGUAGCGGUGAAAUGCGCAGAUAUCAGGAGGAACACCAAUUGCGAAGGCAGCUCGCUGGGACGUUACUGACGCUGAGACGCGAAAGCGUGGGGAGCAAACAGG
rnacentral:rRNA from 1 species